UACGAAGGGGGCUAGCGUUGCUCGGAAUCACUGGGCGUAAAGGGUGCGUAGGCGGGGCUUUAAGUCAGGGGUGAAAUCCUGGAGCUCAACUCCAGAACUGCCUUUGAUACUGAAGAUCUUGAGUUCGGGAGAGGUGAGUGGAACUGCGAGUGUAGAGGUGAAAUUCGUAGAUAUUCGCAAGAACACCAGUGGCGAAGGUGGCUCACUGGCCCGAUACUGACGCUGAGGCACGAAAGCCAGGGGAGCAAACGGG
rnacentral:rRNA from 1 species